GCAUCGGUGGUUUAGUGGUAAAAUUAGCCGUUGCCAUCUAUUCACUGGACAAUAUCGGCUAGCCCCGGGUUCGAUUCCCGGCCGAUGCA